UACGAAGGGGGGCUAGCGUUGCUCGGAAUCACUGGGCGUAAAGGGUGCGUAGGCGGGUCUUUAAGUCAGGGGUGAAAUCCUGGAGCUCAACUCCAGAACUGCCUUCGAUACUGAGAGUCUCGAGUCCGGGAGAGGUGAGUGGAACUGCGAGUGUAGAGGUGAAAUUCGUAGAUAUUCGCAAGAACACCAGUGGCGAAGGCGGCUCACUGGCCCGGUACUGACGCUGAGGUGCGAAAGCGUGGGGAGCAAACAGG
rnacentral:rRNA from 1 species